rnacentral:rRNA from 1 species
ACGCUGGCGGCAUGCCUUACACAUGCAAGUCGAACGGCAGCACGGAGCUUGCUCUGGUGGCGAGUGGCGAACGGGUGAGUAAUAUAUCGGAACGUACCCUAGAGUGGGGGAUAACGUAGCGAAAGUUACGCUAAUACCGCAUACGAUCUAAGGAUGAAAGUGGGGGAUCGCAAGACCUCAUGCUCGUGGAGCGGCCGAUAUCUGAUUAGCUAGUUGGUAGGGUAAAAGCCUACCAAGGCAUCGAUCAGUAGCUGGUCUGAGAGGACGACCAGCCACACUGGAACUGAGACACGGUCCAGACUCCUACGGGAGGCAGCAGUGGGGAAUUUGGGACAAUGGGCGAAAGCCUGAUCCAGCAAUGCCGCGUGAGUGAAGAAGGCCUUCGGGUUGUAAAGCUCUUUUGUCAGGGAAGAAACGGUGAGAGCUAAUAUCUCUUGCUAAUGACGGUACCUGAAGAAUAAGCACCGGCUAACUACGUGCCAGCAGCCGCGGUAAUACGUAGGGUGCAAGCGUUAAUCGGAAUUACUGGGCGUAAAGCGUGCGCAGGCGGUUUUGUAAGUCUGAUGUGAAAUCCCCGGGCUCAACCUGGGAAUUGCAUUGGAGACUGCAAGGCUAGAAUCUGGCAGAGGGGGGUAGAAUUCCACGUGUAGCAGUGAAAUGCGUAGAUAUGUGGAGGAACACCGAUGGCGAAGGCAGCCCCCUGGGUCAAGAUUGACGCUCAUGCACGAAAGCGUGGGGAGCAAAC